UGGCACCCGCUCUGUCCUGCUGAACUUCCCUCUGCAAAACUUUGCUGGAAUAGCAGUGCCCGUCUGGCUGACUGUGCAGUUUUACCCAACGCCAUACUAGAAGUAGUUGGUCUGAACUAUGAUGUGUCUGAUGUGGACAGGCACCCACAAAUGUGUAUUCAGUUUUCUUUGAAUAACAGCCACUAUGUCCACUGCCCCUUCAAGUUUGGUCAUGUCUACGAGUGGGAAGUAACUAAGUUAGCAAUAUUUGCUGGACACAUACGGGUAUCGAUUACAUCCACAAUUCCAGCAUCUUUUGCAGGCCAGCUAUGUGCCAAUUUCGCAGAAGAAUGUGUUUUUAUAGGAAAUGAACAUUAUAUCAGCAUGGUAAGUGUAAGAUAAGAAUAUACCUCAAAAUACAUUAAUCCUUUCAAGAACACUACAAAUCGUUGUUGUCUGGUGAGUAUCAGGUAUGUCCAAAACGGUUAUUUUUUAAGAAAUAAAAAGUGUGAUUUUAGAAUAAUUGCUCUUUGUGUCAUCAAAGUUGGUACAGUGUC